UUGCUGUCUACUUGGUACUUGUAUUUGAGCUUGAUCGAUUUUUGAAUCCUUAAAUGAACAGUUGAUGGUACUUUCGUCGACUUUUACUCUAGCAAAGUAGUCAACAUCUUUCAGCAGUGAAGUAAUACCCUGGUGUAUCUCUAUUUCUAUGUAGUAGUUCCUAACGGAGGCUAAGGUUUUUUGUUAUGGACUUUACCUCGUCGUGUAUUUUUUUAUUCAUCUGAUGUGUACUUAAAAAUACCCGUAUGUCGGGAGCAAAACGUUCAAGUUG
rnacentral:lncRNA from 1 species